rnacentral:tRNA from 3 species
GGCCAAGUAGCUCAGUUGGUAGAGCAGUGGAUUGAAAAUCCUCGUGUCGGUGGUUCGAUUCCGCCCUUGGCCACCA